GGAGGUUAGACAACAUUCAUUCCCUGGUGUCUUUUGUCUCCCUGAUCAGUCAGAACCCAGCUUGACAGGAGUUGUAGGACUGUUUUCCAAGCCCUGGGCAGCAGAGGCUGGAUUUAGGAGUUCAAAGCAAGUCUUAAUUACAUGGCAUAAAGAAAGUAGGAGCUACAGGAGAUGUUUCUCUAAACAGACAGAUAUGAAAUCUCUUUAAAAACAGGAAUGAAAUUCUUAAUUUUGGGGCAAUAUUGGAGAACAGAAACACUUAAGAGACCACCCAUGGAUAGUGAAAAUGAAAUUUAAAAUCUAAUACCAAAAAUGAACUUUUUAAAAAGAAAAAAAUAAAUGAAAAAAUAUAUUACUGUACUGAUUUGAAAAAGAUCAUGCCCUUCCUGGUAGAAGGAAUGGCAAUAAUAAGAUAGUGUUUGACCUUGCCCCUAUGAUCUUUGUUAACUACUGAGAUCUAUAAGGAGAGAGUAGGUCCACAAAGGACCUCACAGAUGUCCCCAUCUGUCUGGCUGAUGCUGACAAUCCAGCCUCUGGGAAGAGAUAUUACACAAGCAUCCUUUGCUAAGAUGCUUGCUCCUCCUCUUUGUGGGAGAUGACAUUGCACUUACCAUGUCUGAAGUUCUAAGUUUGCCUGAGCUAACCUCACAGCAACCAGCAAAAAUAAUAAGAACCGAUUCCACAGAAACACUGAGAUCAGCUGAGUUACACAGAGGAACAUGCAGGCUUAGUAACUGGAAGAGUCACCUCCUCUUCUGACUGGCAGCUCCAUGUGGAGGCUCUAAUUCGCUAUUGAGUCUUGAGUGAAGUGAACACCAGGCUUAGGGUUAGAGUGUACUGUAGAGAUGCAGCCGAGUGGUUCCAGUCUGGGCCAAUCCUUUUCCAGAUCUGCAGAUUUGCAGUUCAGUAGCACCAGUGUGUCUCCUCCAAUAGUCUGUUCUCUUGCAAGCCCUUGGGAGAGGCUAAGAUUCCUGAUCCUUGCUGCCUAAGUGCCUGCCUCUCCCCUUUCUGGGCAGUGCCCCUGGGUUCACUGCUUUGAAAGUUUGGAGCUUGCCUGAGCUCCAAUUCCAGCGCUCAGGAGGCAAUUCCCCUUCUUCCUCCUGGAAUCAAGGUGGAUAGCUUACAUUCCCCAUCAAUCAGCUGAAAUUGGAGUUACCAAACUGUCCACAGGUGGUCAGUGCCCGAAUAUUAGUAACUGAAGAGAGAUUUUAGGACAUAAGAUUUUGUGUUGUGGCUUCAGGCUGGGUCCAGGUAAACUGCAAGUACUUUCACCCAAUGGCUAUGAGCGAAGGCUCAGAGCAAUUAGGACACAUGUCAGACACUGUGGAGCACUCUUCUUAAUCAGCACAUUGUCCUCAGUGGGUUGUCAAAACAAACAUAAUAACAACAAACCCACACCUAUAUUGGGAAAAUAUAUCACUGUACUGAUAUGAAAAAGAUCAGGCCUUUCUUAGUAGAAGGAAUGAUAUUAAUAAGAUAGUGUUUGACCUUGCCCCAUGUGCUUUGUUAACUACUGAGAUCUAUAAUGUGACACACACAGCUACAGCUAAUAGCAUGUGUUUUACAUUUCUGAUACAUUAUAUCUAUAUAGUACAGAUCCUAAAAGAGAAAUUCAUUAUCACUGGCUCAAGCUAACCUGCACAAAUUAAGCACCCACCAAUCUAGUUUUAUUUAAUCACAUGCAUUAUUUAAUACAUUUAGUGAAAUUACAAAAGUAUUCAUCCUGCCUGACUCUCAUCCUUCACUAGAAUGGUGACACCUGGAGCAGAUUCCCUUAAGCUUUCGUCUAUAAUCUAGCCAUCUCCUGCCCUACUUCACCUGACAGAGAUAACAGUAAACCAUUGCUCCUGUUCUCUACUGAAGGUAGAAGAAAUUAACAGUUCAUUAUAUGACUCAAAUGAGCUAUUAUAAAACACUAUUUUGCUACAUUCUUUAACUCAAGAAUUUAGGAAUUUCUAUCAAGAGGAAAGCAAGGUCAUUGCUCUGGGGAGUAGCAGACCAGGAUCAAGGCUACCUAAGUCAACAUAGCUUGUCUUAGAAACAUCUCUAUGAGGGGAAGACGAGACAGCUCUCCCAGAAUUAACAUGUCAUCCCAGAAAGAAAUCGCUCCAUAUACAACUAAAAUAUUAAUUGGGAAAAAUUUCUUAAUGACAGCAAUGGAUUCAGCUCUGGCUAAUACUCAAACACCAGUGAGCCAAAAACAGGUUUUGGAUUCCACACAUGCUCUCAUCCAUAAGUUUCUUUCCUGUUCAGUCCCCAGGUUAUUUUGAACAAUUUAAAUAUGGACUAGAGAUUACAAAUCCUACUUGAGACAGCUAGGAGAUUUUCACAACAAAGAUACGCAGAAUCAUUUAUUAAGUGCCUCAGAGCCCUGAAAUAGCAAGCCAUUUUCCAGUGAUGGGUUUCUGAGUUGGAGUUCCCAGGAGAUGAGAAAAAUAGCAAAAUUAGAAGGUAGAAUUUACAACAGCUGCAGUGGGAAGAGCAUACCCAAGCUAUGUCUUAUGCCAAGUAAACUUUUUAAGAGUAGCAUCUUGUAUCCUACUUACAGGGAUAAGUGGAAAGAAAUGGAGACCUCUAUGAAGUCUGCAGAAACUAGCAUACACUGGGAAAAACUCAGGAGAAGUCUAAUAAAACAACCCUGCACAAGGGAACUGCCAAGUAUCUGAAGAAAAACAUUACUGACCAAGCCCCCAGUGGACUUUGGGACCCUACUCAGUGCAGGGAGGGACAGAAUUAUGGCAUAGCACAGCAGAGAGGGAGGUGGAGUUGACUGGCACAGCAGAAGCAGGUUUGCAACUUCCCCUCCUUGCCUGCAUUUUUUUGUAUUUGCUGGAACCCUCGCACCAAGGCUGGCCAGAAAUUUCCGCGGAAAACCUUUGGUACCCAGGCCCAUAUGAUACUAGGGCUACUGAGCUUCCCACACCCCCAUUAAUCCACACUCAGGAAGGGUCAAAGGACAAGGGCCUCUGCUAUGAUCACCACAUGGACCAAAAGAACCACGGUCCUUGGUACCAGCAGAUCUGACUCUAAUAGCUCUGCAAACUUGCUCCUUCUGGCCUGGCAAAGGAGACACUUUACAAUCACCAUGACAUGGCUUUUGGCCUUCUUCACAGUUUGCAAGAGAUGGCUCUGAAGAGACUCCCAUAAAGAGCCGCAAGCUACCUUCCACUAGGGUUCCUGAUAGAGAGGCAUGGACAGAGUCCCUCAUUAGCCUUGAAAACACAGCUGGGACUCAGACAACAGCAGCUCCUCCACUGUAAGAUCACAGAGCAAAUGAUUCAGACAGCUGAAACUUUCCUGGCUCAGCAAAUCCUCCACAGUUGCAGACAGAGCCCUAGUCUGGGAAAUUUAAAUUCGAUAGACUAUUCCAGACUCCCAGAGCACUUAUUUUCCUUUUUAAAGGCACUGAGCCUUUGUUUGCAUAUAAAGAACAUUAUUAAAUUAUAAAGGCAAUGUCCAGUGCAGCCAUCUCUGCUUCAUACUUGGGAAGCCCUGCAGCCAAACUGCAAUCAAAUUCACACAG
rnacentral:lncRNA from 1 species